ensembl:lncRNA
CAUUGAACAAUGGAUUGACUGGAUCAACUGAUGAAACAUGGACAUCAUUCAUCUGCUCCUGCUCCUACUGUCAUGCAUAAUUCAAGCAGUCCGAGGUCAGGUGACGCUGACACCUGAAACACUAACGGUCCUAAAAGGAAAAGAGGCCCGGUUUACCUGCAGGCCCUCCCUCCCCGAGUGGACCGUUAUGGUGUGGCUGAUGAACGGCAAAUCGGUUCUCACCAUCUCCAAUAAGACGGGUGCCCUGAACACUGUCCACCCAAAUGUGACGGCCGAGCAAAGCGGAGACGGCUGGGUGUUGGUCAUCAACAGGACGGAGAGGCACAACGAGGGCUCAGUGGUCUGUGAUCUCCAGGGUAUUACUACGAAAACAGCAAGCCUGUUUGUACAAGAGACGGGCAGCGUGAAAGUCGUUUGGGACAACAGGUUGGCUUUAAAGGAUUCCUGGGUGCAGUUUGAAUGCCUAACAGCAGGAUGGUACCCUGCGCCCACUGUGCAAUGGCAGGUGAAAGAAAAAGAGGGGAAAGAGACAAAACACAUCAGCAGCAGUGAAACGACCAAACUCAACAUCAUGGCAACGAAGAGCUCAGAUGUGUCUUGUCUGGCGUCCGUGUCUGCCCUGCUCACGCCACUGAAGAGCUGCGCCCGUCUGACAGUGGUUGUAGAGGUGGGGCGGGAGAAGGAGGAAGAUGUCUGCAGCGUGGUGCCCCUGGCAAUAAUGUCCUCCCUCUCUGCUCUUCUGCUGCUCCUCCUGCUCUGUAUCUGCACCGUCCUCUGGCUCAGACGAAGGAGACAAGCACGAGCCGGCACACAGGAGGUAGUAAGGUCCGACCAAUCGGUGAGCGGGAGGAGUUCGGUUGCCGAGGCGACAGCCGGGAAGGUCAACCUGGGAUAUUCUAGUGACGGCCCCACAGAUGCAGUUCACAAUGAGCUAAUCAUGGAAACCUUUAGGCAGGAGGACUUUGUCAGCUUUCACAAGGUCCCUGAUGUCAUAUCCCCCAGCAACCUGUCUCCACACGGGGACGGACCAGCCCAGGUUUGUCUAAAAGAGCAAAACUCCACCAAUACUAGGAGAAUGACAACAGUUUGAAUCAUGAUAUUAAAUAUAAAAAUGUGGUGCCAAAUACAGUACAGUAUUUACAGGUGCCCCCCUCACUAGUGUUUAUAUUAUAUGAUGUUGCACAUUUUUGUAAAGUUGUAAGCUAUUUUUAUGUGAUCUAAAACUAUUCUGAAAAAUAUAUUGUGACGCCUCUGACUUUAAUGUGCUUUAAUGUAUGCGUGAAAAACUGUUUUAAAAACAUACUCUAACUUUCCCGAAAAUGUGUGUGAUCCUUUAUGUUCGGCUUACAUGUUUUAGAUGACUAUAGUAAUUUAGAUAUAAACUACAGCUCCUUCUUAUUUUUGCAGCUUUGACCAUGAUUACAAUAUUACCCUCAAGAUAAAAGUUGCAAUAAACCACAACAAACAUUUAAUGUAUUAAGUGCCUCUUUUUCUGUUUUAAAUGCGGAAGCAUCUCAAACUCGAUCGAUGUCCCGGUCAUGGAGCGGUGAUGGUUUUAAGAUACAAUAUAAAUGGGAAAGGGUGAGAUGUAAAUUAAGACAAUGUGACUGGUGCUGCAAUAAGAACGAGGUGGUGGUGAGGCGCUCUGGAUUAAUGCAUGAAAUAACAGAUUUAUCUCUGUGUGAAGUGGAUGACGGGACAUUUGCAUUUAAUAAUAGUAAAGAAUGGGGGUUGUGGGGGGGGGGGGGUAGAAUGGUGGAGAUGGAUGUAUAUGGGUCUGCCAGACACUCAAUAGUUUCAGCAGCAUUGCUGUUAUUAAAGCAGUUGGUGUGAAUUAAAAAGGUGACAUGCCUGGUGUCUGGGAUUUUUUUUUUACCAAACUGCCGCAGUAAUACCCAUGCGUUUCACAUUUCAGACUGAGCCAGUCCCAUGUGAGUGCAUUAAAUUAUUCCCAACGUAGGGUUAUUAUCAUUGUUUAAUAAUGUCACAAUAUUUAACAAAAACUUUCUUUUUUUCUGUAGGAUGUGGUGUAUUUUUUAGGAUUUCUGUGUGAUUCUUCACCUCCCUCAACAACCGCAAAAUAAAUAGCAAAUCAUACAAUUGGCAGCUUAUCCUUUGUUGGAAGGGAAACACUCUUUCACUUCACUGAAAGCCAAUGCACAUUCUGAUUGGCCCUUUCGGCUUUAGAUGAGAUAUAUCUCUGCUGCCAGCCACCUUGAUUAGCCAAAUAUGAUUUCAAGCCUAUAAGAGAAUGGAAUGACGGCUAAAUCUCUGCAAACACAGCUGAGAAACACAAUUUUGAAGGUGCAUAUUUUCAUAUAAUAAGGAACCACAAAUACAGCAGGGUGGGGGGGGGGUCAGAGCCAGAGAUCUGGAGAAAUCAAGGCCAGAGGCUGACAAAACACAAGCGGGCCUUCUGCUGAAGAAUAAAAACAAGCCAACACAGAAGUAAAAAAAAAGAAUUACUACUACAGUGAUGGAAAGUAGCCUUGAUUUAGAAAACUCGAUGUAAUCCAAAACCAGACCAAAUCAAAACCAAGGCACAAAAAGAAAAAAAUCAAACAAAUCAGCAGGUUGUGGCCUCUUCUAAAAACCAUAAGACAGUUGAGCAUGAUGCUACGUGACACAACACUGUGAGGCGUAUGGGCAGUUAUCAAUGCAGAAGCAACCAGUGGAUUUCUGUCAAACAAAGAGAAAGGUGGACACAGUGUUGACUUUUAAAAGAAAAAAGGUCCCGGCCUAUAUAUCUAUAUUAAAAGCUAAAAAUGGAUCUAGUGUGCUGAAGAAAUAUAUUAUUUCUUAGACUCCUCAUGGCAACAAAUUCAAGAAUAUAAUAUAAGAAUUUACAAAGACUAGUGAAAACCAAUUCAACACCCACGUUCUAUUGCAACGAAAGCAAUCACUAUCAGCCAAUCUUUUUUUCGUUCUAAAUUUAGGUGGUGCGGCUUGUAUUCAAGUGCGCUCUAUAGUCAGGAAAUGAUGGUAAAAGUGCUCUGGGGUGUGAGAGAGGGAAGAUGCAUUUCAUCUACAUAUGACCCGCACUGGCCUAGCUGCAGGGCACACCAACAACCACCAGGAGGAACUCUGUUGUCCUACUGCAGCCAUGACUAAAUUACUCUUAUAAUACAUAUUAAUAAUACAAUGUAUUUCACACAACCACGACCACCACAACUAAUAUAACUGCCAAAACUCCUUCUACCUCAUCAUCAAGCACCACCUUCUCUAAAUAACCCCAAAGUCACUGUCUACCACAGCUACGCCUCCACAUGACUCUAUAGUCAAAGCAGCACGCCUGAAGCCUUCGCAGGAGAAGAGAGGGCUGGAGUAGCUCACAUCCAACACUGCAAAACAAAUGUGGAAUUGAAAAAAUACUGCAAUUGCCAUUCUUAUUCCGGACUGAACACACUGCCACUAACACUACAACUAACACCAUCGCAACACAUACAGCAACUACACCGACCACAACAUCCGCCGCUACCCUCUGAAUGACUGCUGUCAUGAUGA